UGUGGUAUCUCUGCAGCCUUCCCCAGCGUGAAUCAGAACAUUACCAACUGUCUGCGCAUCCGUCCCACUUCAUCACCAAAGCCAGGAUGUGACCGCAAAAAGCACAAGCCCGAACUCACGUUUCACCAGAUGCAGUGUGCUCCCUGGACCCGAAGAAACCCUGAAGAAAAGAAAAGCCCCAGGACCCAGCAAGGGCCUGCCAGCUCUGGUUCUCCACGCUGAAGGGUUCUUUCCUGCCUUCCUGAAGGAGUUAAAAACCUUUGGAGAUAAAUUUGAGAGUUAUAUAUUUAAAAAUCAAAUAGGAAGUUGGAGUCUCACUUCUGAGAGAUUCAUUCCUAGUGAGGCCCUGACGACUCCGAUCCAUUCCUGAUGAUCUGCAUUAAUUAUUUAAUGAGUCACGUGAUCUCAAAGAUUACAAUUUCAAUAUCUCCCUGGAACAGGCGCUACACCUUUAUCAGCUGCAGCCAGGAUCCUUGUUUGGCUUUUUUGCUCCCCAGGCUUCAGGAGUGCAUUCACCCUUGCCCUGAUCCAGCAAGUGACUGCCGAGGAAGUAACAAGAGAGAAAAUGAAAUUGGUUAUUCUGCAUUGUAGACAGUGGGGAACCCACUGCUCUCUCUGGCACCCUGACAUCCAUCACAUCCUGAAUCCAGCAGUCAACCACCUGUCUGAUCACCAAGAGUAGGGCAGUUUGGUUACAUAAUAUACCAGGGCAGCUUUGAUAGUGCAUCAGGCAAGAACUUACCUUCUUCCAGGCUAUACACACCUGUGGCCUUGCACAUCAAGUAUAAGCCUAAAUGUAUACCUUCCAUUCCUGGAAGAAUAACCUCAGCAGAGGGGAAAAUGCCUGUACUUACUCUCAUCUUCCGUGAGAGCAAAGGCUCUACUCAAUCUACCCACUCAUUUACACAAGGAACAUCAGGAUGGGAGAUUAUUCAGCUGCCUCAGUUUCCUCAUUUGUGUAAAUUGAAAAGAUUGAUCAAAAAAUGGUCUCCAGGUCUCUUUCAAUUUGGGAUCUCUUUCAUCUUCAAAAAUCAAUCCUAGAGAGAAAGGGGCUGCUUCAUAAGUCUGGAACUUUCAGAAGAAGGAUGCCAAGAGUUCCAAGCCAGAAGCUGCAGACUAGAUUUCCUGACAGCCCCAGCCAUCUCCCUGAUGCUACCAAGGAGAUAAACCACACAUCUUCUCCUCCUUCUGUUGUUUCCAGCCCAUACUCUUUGAGACAACCAAGAUGCUGUGUCUUUGCCUGAGACCACAUUAUUUGCAAGAAGAUCCCUCUCUCCUUCACAGACUUUUCCCAGAGAAUGCCUUUCAGAACUGCUGUUGAAUUACAAAGAAGUAUUUAUUGUAUGAGGUGAUUAAUGAUUCCUGGGAAAAUUGCUAUUUUCAGCGUGAUUUAAUUUCGUUUUACAAGUACGUGUAGUAGGGGGAGGGUUAAUAAGUUUC
rnacentral:lncRNA from 1 species